rnacentral:rRNA from 1 species
GAUGAACGCUGGCGGCGUGCCUAAUACAUGCAAGUCGAGCGAACAGACUAGGUGCUUGCUCCUCUCACGUUAGCUGCGGACGGGUGAGUAACACGUGGAUAACCUACCUAUUAGACUGGGAUAACUUCGGGAAACCGUAGCUAAUACCGCAUAAUAGAUUAAACCGCAUGGUUCAAUAGUGAAAGACGGUUUUGCUUUCCCUUAUAGAUGGAUUCUCGUCUAAUUAGCUAGUUGUUAAGUUAACGGCUUACCAAGGCAACGAUGCUUAGCCGACCUGAGAGGGUGAUCGGCCACACUGGAACUGAGACACGGUCCAGACUCCUACGGGAGGCAGAAGUAGGGAAUCUCCGGCAAUGGGCGAAAGCCUGACGGAGCAACGCCGCGUGAGUGAUGAAGGUCUUCGGAUCGUAAACCUCUGUUAUUAGGGAAGACCAAAUGUGUAAGUAAAUAUGCACGUCUUGACGGUAACUAAUCAGAAAGCCACGGCUAACUACGUG